ACGAAAACGAUUGUACUGGCAACAGUUAGGUUUUUCCAGUUUUUUACGUGACAUAUGUGGGCGCAUAACAUGUUUCUUUCCACAUUAAUGCUAGCUUUCAGAAAAUAAUCAAUAUGGAUAAUUCCUGGUUUAGUUUAGAUGUUUACGUAUCAGGUCUGUAUCUAUGAGAGUGGAGUAGGGCGCUGUUGUGUUUGAACCAUGAGCACGGAAGAAAGGCUGAGAAGAAAAGUAAUUGAACUGGCUUGUCAACACUACGCAUCCCCUGUCAAAGUGGCGAGGCAGGUUUGCUCAUUGAAAGAAGCAAAUAUUGAGAAAGGGAUGAAACGGUUCCUAAGAGCUUCGCAGCACCGCAGUUCACUGCCCGAAACCCAUCCCAUCAGUCAGCUGACUAAAGGUGCUUCACUCUGGCUGAUGGUCUCUGCGGUCUCGAAUGCUGAGUCACAGAAGCAGGAAUUCCUUGUGCGCCCUCUGCUGGUGGCUUGGCGCGACUACAUCUCGAUGGUGGCUGCGAGGCGGAGACAGAGAGCCGCUUCGGUUGGCAGGUCUUCCCGGCUGAUCUCGUUCCCGUCCAGCCUCAGCACCUUCAGGCUCCAGCACCCCCCACGACCCUGCUCAGGAUAAGCGGGUAUAGAUAAUGGAUGGAUGGACGUCUUUUCUGUGUGCACUAGAUGCAAGAGUACAUUACCACGACUAAGUUAGGGAGGAUGAGCAGCUCCCUCCACUGGGGUUAUGAAGACAGAAGGCAGACUGCUGAGCUGGUGACAGACUAAGAGCUCCUCUGAGGGGCAGGAGGACCUUCACCCUGUGAGGGCCCCAGAACAGCAGCUCCAUUGUGUGGCCCUGCCCCCAUGGGGGCCCCAUGCGGGACCCCCAACGCAAAGCAGAUGUCUUCCUCCUUCUUUUCUUGGUCAUGUGAAACAUGAGCAUUUAAAUGGCAUGUUGCCUGAGUGCCAUGGCAUCUCCAUGACCUCAUAGGGUUUCUGGGGACUGGAACCGAACAGAGUGUGAUGGGAGGCCCUGGGGAUGCCUGAGCUCAUAGUGCAGUGGGAAAGCAGAGAGAAGCUUGCACUGUGUGUCUCCACGGGAACCCAUUAUUUACAGGCGGUGGCACAAGAAGAGACCCCAGAGCUGCUAAGAGUGUCCAUGGAUAGGACAUCAUCGGAAUGUGCUGUGCUGCAUUUCAGUGAUGCACAGUAUGUAGGUGAUGAUCACCUUUGCUGAAAGUUGUUAUAUCAGCCUUCCAGGGUACAUAUUGGAGGGAAGAACCACUUCUACAUUUCACUUCUGCCCUGUUUCUUGACUGGAGGUUUGAUUCUGUUCCUCAGCUGUGGGGGUUUGAUUCUGUUCUUUAGCAAUGAGGACCAAAUAAAUUGAAUAGUCUCAGCUUAAAAAAUGUAAUCAAAAUGUAUACCUUAGAAAUAUAUAGUAUAACAGUAAUAUACAGUUUAACUCAAAGACCAGUAAAUACUAGACCAUAUUCUCUUUUAUGGACCUAUUAUCCUCCGUAGUAUAGUUUGCAUUUUAAAACAAUUCAUUUCGGUGAGGUCGUGAAAAUGAAUGGGAGUGAAUUGGGAGCUGGAAAACUGGGAGGAAUGGUGCUGCCAUUAACUGUCAAUAGGGACAUUUGAUGUUGGUAUUCACGCUAUAAAAAUACAAUGGGGCAAGGUCCAGAAAAUUACUUGUGU